UACAGAGGGUGCAAGCGUUAAUCGGAAUUACUGGGCGUAAAGCGUGCGCAGACGGUUGCGUAAGUCAGAUGUGAAAGCCCCGGGCUCAACCUGGGAAUUGCAUUUGAGACUGCGUAGCUAGGGUGCGGAAGAGGGAAGCGGAAUUUCCGGUGUAGCGGUGAAAUGCGUAGAUAUCGGAAGGAACACCAGUGGCGAAAGCGGCGCACUGGACCACAACUGACGCUGAGGCGCGAAAGCUAGGGGAGCAAACAGG
rnacentral:rRNA from 1 species